UACAGAGGUCUCAAGCGUUGUUCGGAUUCAUUGGGCGUAAAGGGUGUGUAGGUGGCGCGCUAAGUCGGGUGUGAAAUUUCGGAGCUUAACUCCGAAACUGCAUUCGAUACUGGCGUGCUUGAGGACUGGAGAGGAGACUGGAAUUCAUGGUGCAGCAGUGAAAUGCGUAGAGAUCAUGAGGAAGACCAGUGGCGAAGGCGGGUCUCUGGACAGUUCCUGACACUGAGACACGAAGGCCAGGGGAGCAAACGGG
rnacentral:rRNA from 1 species